AACGAACGCUGGCGGCAGGCUUAACACAUGCAAGUCGAACGCACCGCAAGGUGAGUGGCAGACGGGUGAGUAACACGUGGGGAUCUGCCCAAUGGUACGGAAUAGCUCCGGGAAACUGGAAUUAAUACCGUAUGUGCCCUUCGGGGGAAAGAUUUAUCGCCAUUGGAUGAACCCGCGUCGGAUUAGCUAGUUGGUGGGGUAAAGGCUCACCAAGGCGACGAUCCGUAGCUGGUCUGAGAGGAUGAUCAGCCACACUGGGACUGAGACACGGCCCAGACUACUACGGGAGGCAGCAUUGGUGGAUAUUGUUCAAUGGGCUCAAGCAUGAUCCAGCCAUGCCGCGUGAGUGAUGAAGGCCUUAGGGUUGUAAAGCUCUUUCGCCGACGAAGAUAAUGACGGUAGUCGGAGAAGAAGCCCCGGCUAACUUCGUGCCAGCAGCCGCAGUAA
rnacentral:rRNA from 1 species